AACGUAGGUAAUCUUCCCUUGAGCGGGGACGAACGUUCCGAAAGGGACGGCUAAUACCGCAUAAGUUUUUUGGGACUCUGGUCCUGAAAAGGAAAAGCUAGGUAGCAAUAUCCGGCACUCGAGGAGGAGCCUGCGUCGCAUCAGCUAGUUGGUGGGGUAACGGCCUACCAAGGCGAAGACGCGUAGCUGGUCUGAGAGGAUGAUCAGCCACACUGGGACUGAGACACGGCCCAG
rnacentral:rRNA from 1 species